ACACAUGCAAGUCGAACGGCAGCACGGGAGCAAUCCUGGUGGCGAGUGGCGAACGGGUGAGUAAUACAUCGGAACGUGCCCAAUCGUGGGGGAUAACGCAGCGAAAGCUGUGCUAAUACCGCAUAAGAUCUACGGAUGAAAGCAGGGGAUCGCAAGACCUUGCGCGAAUGGAGCGGCCGAUGGCAGAUUAGGUAGUUGGUGAGGUAAAGGCUCACCAAGCCUUCGAUCUGUAGCUGGUCUGAGAGGACGACCAGCCACACUGGGACUGAGACACGGCCCAGACUCCUACGGGAGGCAGCAGUGGGGAAUUUUGGACAAUGGGCGAAAGCCUGAUCCAGCCAUGCCGCGUGCAGGAUGAAGGCCUUCGGGUUGUAAACUGCUUUUGUACGGAACGAAAAGUCUCUUUCUAAUAAAGAGGGAUCAUGACGGUACCGUAAGAAUAAGCACCGGCUAACUACGUGCCAGCAGCCGCGGUAAUACGUAGGGUGCAAGCGUUAAUCGGAAUUACUGGGCGUAAAGCGUGCGCAGGCGGUUAUGUAAGACAGUUGUGAAAUCCCCGGGCUCAACCUGGGAACUGCAUCUGUGACUGCAUAGCUAGAGUACGGUAGAGGGGGAUGGAAUUCCGCGUGUAGCAGUGAAAUGCGUAGAUAUGCGGAGGAACACCGAUGGCGAA
rnacentral:rRNA from 1 species